GACGAACGCUGGCGGCGUGCUUAACACAUGCAAGUCGAACGGAAAGGCCCUGCUUGCCGGGUACUCGAGUGGCGAACGGGUGAGUCACACGUGUGUGAUCUGCCCUGCACUUCGGGAUAAGCCUUGGAAACUGGGUCUAAUACCGGAUAGGAGCCAUUUUUAGUGUGAUGGUUGGAAAGUUUUUUCGGUGUAGGAUGAGCUCGCGGCCUAUCAGCUUGUUGGUGGGGUAAUUGCCUACCAAGGCGGCGACGGGUAGCCGGCCUGGGAGGGUGGCCGGCCACAUUGGGACUGAGACACGGCCCAGACUCCUACGGGAGGGAGCAGUGGGGAAUAUUGCACAAUGGGCGCAAGCCUGAUGCAGCGACGCCGCGUGGGGGAGGACGGCCUUCGGGUUGUAAACUCCUUUCGCUAGGGACGAAGCUUUUUGUGACGGUACCUAGAGAAGAAGCACCGGCUAACUACGUG
rnacentral:rRNA from 1 species